rnacentral:rRNA from 1 species
CCGCGGUAAUACAGAGGGUGCAAGCGUUAAUCGGAUUUACUGGGCGUAAAGCGUGCGUAGGUGGUCUUUUAAGUCGGAUGUGAAAUCCCUGAGCUUAACUUAGGAAUUGCAUUCGAUACUGGGAGACUAGAGUAUGGGAGAGGAUGGUAGAAUUCCAGGUGUAGCGGUGAAAUGCGUAGAGAUCUGGAGGAAUACCGAUGGCGAAGGCAGCCAUCUGGCCUAAUACUGACACUGAGGUACGAAAGCAUGG